rnacentral:rRNA from 1 species
GUCGAGGGGUAUGGCAGCAAUGCCAGAGACCGGCGCACGGGUGCGUAACGCGUAUGCAACCUACCUUUCACAGGGGGAUAGCCCAGAGAAAUUUGGAUUAAUACCCCAUGGUAUAUUGAGAUGGCAUCAUCUUAUUAUUAAAGUCACAACGGUGAAAGAUGGGCAUGCGUCCUAUUAGCUAGUUGGUGUGGUAACGGCAUACCAAGGCUACGAUAGGUAGGGGUCCUGAGAGGGAGAUCCCCCACACUGGUACUGAGACACGGACCAGACUCCUACGGGAGGCAGCAGUGAGGAAUAUUGGUCAAUGGGCGCAAGCCUGAACCAGCCAUGCCGCGUGCAGGAUGAAGCAUCUAUGGUGUGUAAACUGCUUUUGUACGGGAAGAAACCCCUCCACGUGUGGAGGAUUGACGGUACCGUAAGAAUAAGGAUCGGCUAACUCCGUGCCAGCAGCCGCGGUAAUACGGAGGAUCCAAGCGUUAUCCGGAAUCAUUGGGUUUAAAGGGUCCGUAGGCGGGCUAAUAAGUCAG